AAGUGAGAAUGCCGGAAUGAGUAGCGCGAAUGCAGUGAGAAUCUGCAUGGCCGAAAGCCUCAGGUUUUUGGAGGAAGGUUCGUCCGCUCCAAGUUAGUCGGGAGCUAAGGUGAGGCCGGAAGGCGUAGCCGAUGCACAGACGGUAGAGAUUCCGUCACCACCAAAAGAGUUAAGCACAGGGACACAUUUGAAGUCUCAGAGCCGGGUGUUGGUUCCGGUAGAGAUCGAGGGAAAUUAGUACCGAAGUCUGGGAUGGAGGAUGGCGAGAAAAGCUGUGUGUAUUUCUGAGGUGCCCGUACCGCAAACCGACACAGGUAGGUAGGAAGAAGAUUCUAAGGCCAACGGGAGAAGGGUUGUUAAGGAACUCGGCAAAUUGACCCCGUAACUUCGGGAGAAGGGGUGCUCCAGAGAUGGAGCCGCAGAGAAUCGGCCCAAGCAACUGUUUACCAAAAACACAGGUUUGUGCUAAAUCGAAAGAUGACGUAUACGAGCUGACGCCUGCCCGGUGCUGGAAGGUUAAGAGGAGAUGUGCAAGCAUUGAAUCGAAGCCCCAGUGAACGGCGGCCGUAACUAUAACGGUCCUAAGGUAGCGAAAUUCCUUGUCAGGUAAGUUCUGACCCGCAUGAAAGGCGUAAUGAUUUGGGCACUGUCUCAACAGCCCGCCCGGCGAAAUUGUAGUACCGGUGAAGAUGCCGGUUACCCGCGACAAGACGGAAAGACCCCAUGGAGCUUUACUGUAGCCUAAUAUUGGGUUUCGAUGUUGCAUGCACAGGAUAGAUGGGACACAGGGAAACAAUCGCUUUGGCGGUUGCGGAGUGGCCGUUGGGAUACCAUCCUUGCGAUAUUGGAAUUCUAACCUGCGGCUCUGAAUCGAGUCGGGGGACAUUGUUAGGUGGGCAGUUUGACUGGGGCGGUCGCCUCCUAAAAAGUAACGGAGGCGUUCAAAGGUUCGCUCAGCUUGAACGGAAAUCAAGCAAGAGAGUGCAAACGCAGAAGCGAGCCUAACUGCGAGACUGACGGGUCGAGCAGUAACGAAAGUUGGAGUUAGUGAUCCGGUGGUAUGUGAGUGGAAAUGCCAUCGCUCAACGGAUAAAAGUUACCCUGGGGAUAACAGGCUGAUCUCCCCCAAGAGUCCACAUCGACGGGGAGGUUUGGCACCUCGAUGUCGGCUCAUCGCAUCCUGGGGCUGUAUUCGGUCCCAAGGGUUUGGCUGUUCGCCAAUUAAAGCGGUACGCGAGCUGGGUUCAGAACGUCGUGAGACAGUUCGGUCCCUAUCUGUCGUGGGC
rnacentral:rRNA from 1 species